rnacentral:rRNA from 1 species
CCUACGGGCGGCAGCAGUGGGGAAUAUUGCACAAUGGGGGAAACCCUGAUGCAGCAACGCCGCGUGAGUGAUGAAGGCCUUCGGAUUGUAAAGCUCUGUCUUCAGGGACGAUCAUGACGGUUCCUGAGGAGGCAGCCACGGCUAACUACGUGCCAGCAGCCGCGGUAAUACGUAGGUGGCGAGCGUUGUCCGGUUUUAGUGGGCGUAAAGGGGGCGUAGGCGGACUUUUAAGUGAGAUGUGAAAGACUCGGGUUCAACCUGAGUGCUGCAUUUCAAACUGGAAGACUAGAGUGUAGGAGAGGAGAAUGGAAUUCCUAGUGUAGCGGUGAAAUGCGUAGAGAUUAGGAAGAACACCAGUGGCGAAGGCGAUUCUCUGGACUGUAACUGACGCUGAGGCUCGAAAGCGUGGGGAGCAAACAGGAUUAGAUACCCGUGUAGUC